CGAGUGAAGCGGCAAAAGCUCAAAUUUGAAAUCCCCCCGGGGAGUUGUAAUUUGAAGAUUGCGUCUUGGAGGCGACCGUGUCUAUGUUCCUUGGAACAGGACGUCACAGAGGGUGAGAAUCCCGUGCGGCACGGCCCCCGGCUCCUUAUAAGGCGCUCUCGACGAGUCGAGUUGUUUGGGAAUGCAGCUCAAAGUGGGUGGUAAAUUCCAUCUAAAGCUAAAUACAGGCGAGAGACCGAUAGCGAACAAGUACAGUGAUGGAAAGAUGAAAAGCACUUUGAAAAGAGAGUGAAACAGCACGUGAAAUUGUUGAAAGGGAAGGGCAUGCCGUCAGAUUGUCAGUGUGGGUAAGAAGCGGGGUACAAAGACUGUGGAACGUGGCCCUCGGGUGUUAUAGCCGCAGUUCAUGCCCCGUCUCUUUCCGAGGCCUGCUUUGAGGACACCGACGUAAUGACGGUACGCCGCCCGUCUUGA
rnacentral:rRNA from 1 species